rnacentral:rRNA from 1 species
UGCAGUCGAGCGGCAGCGACAACAUUGACCCUUCGGGUGAUUUGUUGGGCGGCGAGCGGCGGACGGGUGAGUAAUGGCUGGGAACCUGCCCUGACGUGGGGGAUAACAGUUGGAAACGACUGCUAAUACCGCAUGAUGUCUUCGGACCAAAGAGGAGGACCUUCGGGCUUCUCGCGUCGGGAUGGGCCCAGUUGGGAUUAGCUAGUUGGUGAGGUAAUGGCUCACCAAGGCGACGAUCCCUAGCUGGUUUGAGAGGAUGAUCAGCCACACUGGAACUGAGACACGGUCCAGACUCCUACGGGAGGCAGCAGUGGGGAAUAUUGCACAAUGGGCGCAAGCCUGAUGCAGCCAUGCCGCGUGUGUGAAGAAGGCCUUCGGGUUGUAAAGCACUUUCAGCAGUGAGGAAGGCGUAGUGGUUAAUACCCGCUGCGCUUGACGUUAGCUGCAGAAGAAGCACCGGCUAACUCCGUGCCAGCAGCCGCGGUAAUACGGAGGGUGCGAGCGUUAAUCGGAAUUACUGGGCGUAAAGCGCAUGCAGGCGGUUUGUUAAGCAAGAUGUGAAAGCCCCGGGCUCAACCUGGGAACCGCAUUUUGAACUGGCAGGCUAGAGUCUUGUAGAGGGGGGUAGAAUUUC